rnacentral:rRNA from 1 species
GACGAACGCUGGCGGCGUGCUUAACACAUGCAAGUCGAACGGGAUUUAGUAAACAGAAGCCUCGGUGGAAGAUUACUAAUGAGAGUGGCGAACGGGUGAGUAACGCGUGAGCAACCUGCCUAUGACAGUGGGAUAGCCUCGGGAAACCGGGAUUAAUACCGCAUAAAUCGUAGAAACACAUGUUUUAACGGUCAAAGAUUUAUCGGUCAUAGAUGGGCUCGCGUCUGAUUAGCUAGUUGGUGAGAUAACAGCCCACCAAGGCGACGAUCAGUAGCCGGUCUGAGAGGAUGAACGGCCACAUUGGAACUGAGACACGGUCCAAACUCCUACGGGAAGCAGCAGUGGGGAAUAUUGCACAAUGGGGGAAACCCUGAUGCAGCGACGCCGCGUGAACGAAGAAGGUAUUCGUAUCGUAAAGUUCUGUCCUAUGGGAAGAUAAUGACAGUACCAUAGAAGAAAGCUCCGGCUAAAUACGUG